rnacentral:rRNA from 1 species
CCCUUAGAUGUCCUGGGCCGCACGCGCGCUACACUGAUGCAUUCAACGAGUUUUACCUUGGCCGAGAGGCCUGGGCAAUCUUUUAAACCUGCAUCGUGAUAGGGAUAGAUUAUUGCAAUUAUUAAUCUUGAACGAGGAAUUCCUAGUAAACGCAAAUCAUCAAUUUGCAUUGAUUACGUCCCUGCCCUUUGUACACACCGCCCGUCGCUCCUACCGAUUGAAUGAUCCGAUGAAUACCAUGGAUUGAGAGUACGAAUAGGUUCGCUUAUUUCUGCUGCUCGAGAAGUGGAGUAAAUCUUAUCAUUUAGAGGAAGGAGAAGUCGUAACA